UUCUGGAGAAAAGGGGAGUCCUGGAAGAAGGGGUGACAAAGGACCCAAAGGAGACAAAGGCGAGAGAGGAGAUGUCGGGAUUCGAGGUGACCCGGGUGACUCAGGACGGGACAGCCAGCAGAGAGGACCCAAAGGAGAGACGGGAGACAUCGGCCCCAUGGGUCUCCCAGGCAGAGAUGGCAUCCCUGGCAGCCCAGGAGACCCUGGGAAGGACGUAAGUACCUUGGGAUGUUGGGUUCUGCUCACUGGCAAGUGAUUGGUGCACAGUGCCUGGCACUCUGCUAUGGUCCAGCUCCCUACCAGGGGUUGGGGCAGGGGAAAGCCAUUCCUGAAACCAUCUGUCUACUUUAUGCUGUACGGACAGUACUAAAAACAAGGCCAUUUGUGUCAAUAUAAAAUAAGUAGGCUUUUGCCUUUGACUUAAUGUUGCUGUCCUAGAUUGUUUGCCGGCUCACAGCUCCGAAGGGUUCAGGGAGCAUGGGUAGUGAGCACGGCGGUCAUGCUUGUCUUCCCAUGGAGGGAGGCAAGCUGUGGGUCUUUAUACCAGAUCUGUUGCUGAUAGGACAUUUUCAUUCUUAGCUUCCUCUGGCACCCAUCGCUCACCUUCCCUCAGUCUUUUCUCUCUCCUUCAGUCCUUUGUCCUUUCCCUCUGUAGAGAACAUUGAACACUU
rnacentral:lncRNA from 1 species